rnacentral:rRNA from 1 species
ACACAUGCAAGUCGAACGGAGUUCUUGAGGAAUGCGGCUUCGGCCAAAUGACUUUUGAACUUAGUGGCGGACGGGUGAGUAACGCGUGAGCAACCUGCCUUUCAGAGGGGGAUAACAUUUGGAAACAGAUGCUAAUACCGCAUAAGAUUACAGUACCGCAUGAUACAGUGAUCAAAGGAGCAAUCCGCUGAAAGAUGGGCUCGCGUCCGAUUAGAUAGUUGGUGAGGUAACGGCUCACCAAGUCGACGGUCGGUAGCCGGACUGAGAGGUUGAACGGCCACAUUGGGACUGAGACACGGCCCAGACUCCUACGGGAGGCAGCAGUGGGGAAUAUUGCACAAUGGGCGAAAGCCUGAUGCAGCAACGCCGCGUGAGGGAAGACGGUUUUCGGAUUGUAAACCUCUGUUUUCGGUGACGAACAAAUGACGGUAACCGAGUAGGAAGCCACGGCUAACUACGUGCCAGCAGCCGCGGUAAUACGUAGGUGGCAAGCGUUAUCCGGAAUUACUGGGUGUAAAGGGAGCGCAGGCGGGAUAGCAAGUCAGCUGUGAAAACUAUGGGCUCAACCCAUAAACUGCAGUUGAAACUGUUAUUCUUGAGUGGAGUAGAGGCAAGCGGAAUUCCGAGUGUAGCGGUGAAAUGCGUAGAUAUUCGGAGGAACACCAGUGGCGAAGGCGGCUUGCUGGGCUCUAACUGACGCUGAGGCUCGAAAGUGUGGGGAGCAAACAGGAUUAGAUACCCUGGUAGUCCACACUGUAAACGAUGAUUGCUAGGUGUGGGGGGUCUGACCCCCUCCGUGCCGGAGUUAACGCAAUAAGCAAUCCACCUGGGGAGUACGGC